rnacentral:rRNA from 1 species
CUACGGGUUGCAGCAGUGGGGAAUAUUGGACAAUGGGGAAAACCCUGAUCCAGCAAUGCCGCGUGUGUGAAGAAGGCCUGCGGGUUGUAAAGCACUUUCGGUUGGGAGGACUGCUUCUAGCACUAAUAUUGUUGGAAGUUGACGUUACCUUCAGAAGAAGCACCGGCUAACUCCGUGCCAGCAGCCGCGGUAAUACGGAGGGUGCAAGCGUUAAUCGGAAUUACUGGGCGUAAAGCGCGCGUAGGCGGCUAGAUCAGUCGGGUGUGAAAGCCCCGGGCUUAACCUGGGAACUGCAUCCGAUACUGUCUAGCUUGAGUACAGGAGAGGAGGGUGGAAUUCCACAUGUAGCGGUGAAAUGCGUAGAUAUGUGGAGGAACACCAAUGGCGAAGGCAGCUCUCUGGCCUGAUACUGACGCUGAGGUGCGAAAGCGUGGGGAGCAAACAGGGUUAGAUACCCGAGUAGUC